GUCCUAGCCCUAAACGAUGGAUACUUGCUGUGACUGGGGAUUGAAUCCAGUCGUGGCGAAGCUAAACGCAUUAAGUAUACCGCCUGGGGAGUACGGUCGCAAAGGCUGAAACUCAAAGGAAUUGACGGGGGCCCCGCACAAGCGGUGGAGUAUGUGGUUUAAUUCGACGCAACGCGAAGAACCUUACCUGGGCUCGAACGGCUGGUGACAGGGGUGGAAACAUCCUUUUCCCGCAAGGGACACCAGUCGAGGUGCUGCAUGGCUGUCGU
rnacentral:rRNA from 1 species